UACGUAGGGGGCUAGCGUUGUCCGGAAUCAUUGGGCGUAAAGAGCUCGUAGGCGGCUCGUUGCGUCGCUGCGAAAACCCGCAGCUCAACUGUGGGCUUGCAGCCGAUACGGGCGGGCUGGAGUUCGGUAGGGGAGACUGGAAUUCCUGGUGUAGCGGUGGAAUGCGCAGAUAUCAGGAGGAACACCGGUGGCGAAGGCGGGUCUCUGGGCAGUAACUGCGCUGAGGAGCGAAAGCGUGGGGAGCGAACAGG
rnacentral:rRNA from 1 species